rnacentral:rRNA from 1 species
UACGUAGGGUGCGAGCGUUAAUCGGAAUUACUGGGCGUAAAGCGUGCGCAGGCGGUCUGUUAAGACCGAUGUGAAAUCCCCGGGCUUAACCUGGGAACUGCAUUGGUGACUGGCAGGCUUUGAGUGUGGCAGAGGGAGGUAGAAUUCCACGUGUAGCAGUGAAAUGCGUAGAGAUGUGGAGGAAUACCGAUGGCGAAGGCGGCCUACUGGGCUGUCACUGACGCUGAGGCGCGAAAGCUCGGGGAGCGAACGGG